UUGCUACCUGGAGUUGUUCGACGAUAGUAUUCUUUUCAGUAGUGAUGGCCGCCACCUUAUCCAUCCACGACUAAUGAAAAUUGGUGAUCUUUCGAUAGCCGCUCUCUAGAGCAUGCAUAUCGUGCACCCACUGAAAGCAGAAGAUAAGUUAGAUCAGAUUAAAAAAAAUGUCAGAAAGCUUACCCCAUGUAUCAUUGGGUAG
rnacentral:lncRNA from 1 species